AAUGUCGAGAUAAAGACAAAUUUUGUUCUGCCUAAAUGUCUAGGGCAUGAAAACUUUUAAAGUUAACCUACAUAGUUACCCAGUAAACUAUUAUCAAUCAUUCGGCUAAAAAGUUUUUUCGGACUCAGUCAAUCCAUAAAUUGAAAAUAUAAUAUUUUUUUUGUACCGAAAAAAUGGAACGUAUAUUGACUUUGGCUGUGGGCGCUAUUCUUGGCUAUAUCAUUGGCAAAAAAAUGUGAAAACUAAACACAAAAUCGCAUUAUUUUUCGAUAAUUUGAAUAAUGGAAAAUUCGUGGAUUUGCCCACUACUUCUUGGAAUUUUUGUAGGCUAUUUAAUUGGCAAGAAUACAUAAAAGCAACAAUAACAAGUAGGCAGUUACAAAAAAAUUAUAAAAGAAAUUCAUAGCAAAUGGAUGGAGAUUGGUUUAUUACAUUUCUUGUAGGCUGCAUCGUGGGCUACUUAAUAGCCAAGAAUACGUAAAACGAAAUUCUUGUCGAACCGAAUCGGUCAGUUGUAGAAGCAAGUUCAACUUUCCAUUUAAAAUAAAUAAAAACCAUCUAUAGGCAAUGCAAGCUUCUCCUUACCAAAAAUAUUAAAAGCAAGCAAAUAAAUAGCAAAACAGGAACAUAACUCACCAUGACUCAUAUUAUAUCAUUUGCCUUGGGCGUAAUCAUUGGCAUGAUGAUGUGCAGACGAAACUGUUGAUCCUGGAAAUAAUGAAGAAAUUUCCGAAAAAUUACAAGUGAAAUGGCAAUAUUUAGAAAAUAAAAUUGUAUUAGUAUACAUUA